UUUCCCCUCGACCCGUUUCCCCAGGCGCUCGGACUGAUUUCCCCUCGAUCCGAGCCACACUCGUAGGGGCUACCCCCAUAUAGUUGGUGGACGCGGGACGGAGAAGAUCCCAGCAAGCCGAUCGAGGUUCCAAUUUGAAGAAUCUGUGCAGGAUGGGGAGAAAGUUGCCCCCUUUUGCCCCGGCCGUGGUGUCGACGCAGACGGCGGCCGGAAGGAAACGCAAAACAGCCUCCUUGGCUCCGCUCACCCCCAGGAAGCGCUGGGUGCGGGCAAGCGGUGGCUGGGCGUCUCUGCCCAUCGACAUAAUCUGCCUCAUUCUCCGGCAGCUCGUCGCCAUCGGCGGCGGCGGCGACGUUGUGGACUACAUCGCCUUCCGCGCCGUCUGCUUCGGCUGGCGCGCCUGCACGCCCACGCCGCGUGACCCCACACUGCGGGAUCCGCGCCUCCGGCCGCGCGCCUGGGUUGCGCUGUGCGACGGUGACGCGGUACGCCCGGACGACGCCUGCGAGAUCCCCUUCUUCCACACGCGCACGGCCAGGUGCAUCCGCGUUCGCCUGCCAGAGCUCCGACGCCACAGAAUCGUCGGCUUCACCGACGGCCUCGUCAUCCUCCUGCACAAGAGCACCACCGCUGUCCGCGUGCUUCACCCCUUCACGCUUGUCGCCGUUGACCUCCCGCCCCUCGCCGCCGUGUACCGCGAGGUGAUCGGGCCAAAGAAGCACCAUCUGCUUGAAAUGAAUGCUGUGGUAUGCAGCAGCGCGACCUCCGCGAACUCCAUCGCUGUCAUGGUCUGGUUCCACUCGGCAAGGGUGGUGCUCGUCGCGGAGCCAGGUUCAGACUGGAAGGUACUCCAUCGAGGGAUUUAUGUUCGGAGCAUGCUGCAAUUCCAAGGAAGGCUCUACGCCACCUUCUCGGCUUCAAAAGAGAUCGUGCAGCUAUAUCCACCGAGACAACCACGGCUUGAGAAUUCGCUGGUGGUUGCUCGUAUUCCAGAUAUAUUUGGUGAGCACAUUUUCUGUCAGUUUUUCCUGGUGGAGUCUGGUGGACGAAUGCUGCUCGUUGUACAGUAUCCCCCUGGUCAUGGAAGAAAGAUGGAAUGGUCACGACAAGUAGGCUUCAGGCUCUAUGCAGUGGAUUUGUGCAGCAAAGGCAUUGGUAACUUGAUUCCGGUGAGCUGCCUAGGUGAUCGUGCGUUGUUUCUCAACAGCGAUCGAUGCCUGGCUGUUUUGGCCAGGGACCUCCCUUCUCUGAGCAGCAACUCCAUCUACUUCUCUUUACCGGACAGCCCUGUUGUGGUGCACUCAUUGAGGACUGGAUUGUCGGAGCAGUUGGCGGAGCACUGCCAAAUACACAACUCGGUGGAUAGGAUCCGCCCCUCUGUGCGCCCAUUUAGCAUUGUUGAUCAUCUUCUCACCUACUGCCAUCCUUCUCACUGGAUUGAAGGACUCAUGUUUCAUGAGUACCAUCAUAUACCUGAUUCUUUCAAGGAAUUGAGGAAGAACAUCCAGGCAAAAGAUUCACGACUGCGGAUUCCGCGCAUCAUGGGCCAGUGAAAAAUCAAGGUACGGCAACUACAAUGCCAAUGGAGACUAAACCUCUUGGAACGGUCCUAGUUAACUCUGUGUGCACAACUUCUAAGCUGGUUCUGGAGACAUAUGCCAAAGAAGUGGGGAGAGUCUGAAGCCAUGCUGAGAAAUAGGGGCACCAGCCUGAAUACAACAGCCUAUUAUUCUAACAGUCUCAUCCGGCCACUACCGGUCUGCAACGUCCGCAGCAGUGUGUCAUAAGAGCAUGUUCUGCCACGUCCGCAGCAGUGUAUCAUAAGAGCAUGUUCAACAGAUGAUGUAAAACGGUUGUUGCAUUUUAAAAAACUGUCCGCAGCAGUGUAUCAUAAGAGCAUUUUAAAAAAUUUGCUUCCGCA